rnacentral:rRNA from 1 species
AUACGGAGGGGACUAGCGUUGUUCGGAUUUACUGGGCGUAAAGCGCGCGUAGGCGGUUUGGAAAGUCAGAUGUGAAAUCCCAGGGCUCAACCCUGGAACUGCAUUUGAAACUAUCAGACUAGAGAUUGGGAGAGGUAAGUGGAAUUCCGAGUGUAGAGGUGAAAUUCGGAGAUAUUCGGAGGAACACCAGAGGCGAAGGCGACUUACUGGACCAAUACUGACGCUGAGGUGCGAAAGCGUGGGGAGCAAACAGGAUUAGAAACCCUAGUAGUCC